GCGCCGUUAGCUCAGUCCGGUAGAGCAGGUGGCUCUUAACCACUUGGUCGGGGGUUCAAAUCCCUCACGGCGCACCA
rnacentral:tRNA from 1 species